rnacentral:rRNA from 1 species
GACGAACGCUGGCGGCGUGCUUAACACAUGCAAGUCGAACGGAAAGGCCCUGCUUUUGUGGGGUGCUCGAGUGGCGAACGGGUGGGUAACACGUGAGUAACCUGCCCUUAACUUUGGGAUAACUUCAGGAAACUGGGGCUAAUACCGGAUAGGAGCUCCUGCUGCAUGGUGGGGGUUGGAAAGUUUCGGCGGUUGGGGAUGGACUCGCGGCUUAUCAGCUUGUUGGUGGGGUAGUGGCUUACCAAGGCUUUGACGGGUAGCCGGCCUGAGAGGGUGACCGGCCACAUUGGGACUGAGAUACGGCCCAGACUCCUACGGGAGGCAGCAGUGGGGAAUAUUGCACAAUGGGCGGAAGCCUGAUGCAGCAACGCCGCGUGCGGGAUGACGGCCUUCGGGUUGUAAACCGCUUUCGCCUGUGACGAAGCGUGAGUGACGGUAAUGGGUAAAGAAGCACCGGCUAACUACGUG